GGGUUGUGAGGUUAAGCGACUAAGCGUACACGGUGGAUGCCCUGGCAGUCAGAGGCGAUGAAGGACGUGCUAAUCUGCGAUAAGCGUCGGUAAGGUGAUAUGAACCGUUAUAACCGGCGAUUUCCGAAUGGGGAAACCCAGUGUGAUUCGUCACACUAUCAUUAACUGAAUCCAUAGGUUAAUGAGGCGAACCGGGGGAACUGAAACAUCUAAGUACCCCGAGGAAAAGAAAUCAACCGAGAUUCCCCCAGUAGCGGCGAGCGAACGGGGAGCAGCCCAGAGCCUGAAUCAGUGUGUGUGUUAGUGGAAGCGUCUGGAAAGGCGCGCGAUACAGGGUGACAGCCCCGUACACAAAAAUGCACAUGCUGUGAGCUCGAUGAGUAGGGCGGGACACGUGGUAUCCUGUCUGAAUAUGGGGGGACCAUCCUCCAAGGCUAAAUACUCCUGACUGACCGAUAGUGAACCAGUACCGUGAGGGAAAGGCGAAAAGAACCCCGGCGAGGGGAGUGAAAAAGAACCUGAAACCGUGUACGUACAAGCAGUGGGAGCACGCUUAGGCGUGUGACUGCGUACCUUUUGUAUAAUGGGUCAGCGACUUAUAUUCUGUAGCAAGGUUAACCGAAUAGGGGAGCCGAAGGGAAACCGAGUCUUAACUGGGCGUUAAGUUGCAGGGUAUAGACCCGAAACCCGGUGAUCUAGCCAUGGGCAGGUUGAAGGUUGGGUAACACUAACUGGAGGACCGAACCGACUAAUGUUGAAAAAUUAGCGGAUGACUUGUGGCUGGGGGUGAAAGGCCAAUCAAACCGGGAGAUAGCUGGUUCUCCCCGAAAGCUAUUUAGGUAGCGCCUCGUGAAUUCAUCUCCGGGGGUAGAGCACUGUUUCGGCAAGGGGGUCAUCCCGACUUACCAACCCGAUGCAAACUGCGAAUACCGGAGAAUGUUAUCACGGGAGACACACGGCGGGUGCUAACGUCCGUCGUGAAGAGGGAAACAACCCAGACCGCCAGCUAAGGUCCCAAAGUCAUGGUUAAG
rnacentral:rRNA from 1 species